rnacentral:tRNA from 1 species
GGAUUGUAGCUCAGUGGUAGAGCACUCGCCUAGCAUAUGAGAGGCGCUGGGUUCGAUCCUCAGCACCA